rnacentral:rRNA from 1 species
CCAGUGCACUUUCACAGAGUGGUCACCACGACCGGCAUUGCUGUCUGGCUGUUGUGGUUAAACCGGCCUUUCUUUGUCCUUGUGGCUUUGGAUUGUCGGGAUGGCAGGUAGCUCGCUAGCUUGACUUGUGGCUCGCUGCAGGUUUUGGCUCUCGGGUGUAAUCAGCUGACCGCAUCGGUUCUGUGCAGUAUGUCGGAGAUGGCGGCUUGUGGUACAUGCGUGCGUGCUAGUUGGUUGGCCUGUCCGGGUUUGGUUGUCAUGUUGCUUGUGUAAACAGGCCUGGCGAUAGCUCGGAUUCGUUUGGCCGGCGGUUGCGUGCGUAGUGCUUUCCAGGGCCAACAGUCUGUGGUGUUGCGGUAGACGAUCCACCUGACCCGUCUUGAAACACGGACCAAGGAGAGUAACAUGUGCGCGAGUCAUUGGGCGUAACGAAACCCAAAGGCGAAGUGAAAGUAAAGGUCUGGCUUGUCCGGACUGAGGUGAGAUCCUGUCGU